AACGUAGGACGCAAGCGUUAUCCGGAGUUACUGGGCGUAAAGGGCGUGUAGGCGGACGUGUAAGUCUAUUCUGAAAGCUCCUGGCUAAACUGGGAGAGGCGAAUGGAGACUGCAUAUCUAGAGUGAGGAAGAGGAAAGUGGAAUUCCGCGUGUAGUGGUGAAAUUCGUAGAUAUUCGGAAGAACACCAGUGGCGAAGGCGACUUACUGGACGAUUGUUGACGCUGAGGUGCGAAAGCGUGGGGAGCAAACAGG
rnacentral:rRNA from 1 species